GAUGAACGCUGGCGGCGUGCCUAAUACAUGCAAGUCGAGCGAACAGACGAGGAGCUUGCUCCUCUGACGUUAGCGGCGGACGGGUGAGUAACACGUGGAUAACCUACCUAUAAGACUGGGAUAACUUCGGGAAACCGGAGCUAAUACCGGAUAAUAUAUUGAACCGCAUGGUUCAAUAGUGAAAGACGGUUUUGCUGUCACUUAUAGAUGGAUCCGCGCCGCAUUAGCUAGUUGGUAAGGUAACGGCUUACCAAGGCAACGAUGCGUAGCCGACCUGAGAGGGUGAUCGGCCACACGGGAACUGAGACACGGUCCAGACUCCUACGGGAGGCAGCAGUAGGGAAUCUUACGCAAUGGGCGAAAGCUUGACGGAGCAACGCCGCGUGAGUGAUGAAGGUCUUCGGAUCGUAAAACUCUGUUAUUAGGGAAGAACAAAUGUGUAAGUAACUAUGCACGUCUUGACGGUACCUAAUCAGAAAGCCACGGCUAACUACGUG
rnacentral:rRNA from 1 species